UAGCCAUUCACUGAGCACUGAGAUUUCCUCGGAAAGCAAAUAAUCUAUCUAAGCGGAUCGAAUCGAGUGUGUUGGUCCGACUCCCACUUGCUUAUUCAAAUCCUUAGUAGUUGUAAUUUCAGAAUCUUGAAAUGACAUCUCGAAAAAAGUAGUAGGUAUAAGUGCUUUCUGUGGGAAGAAAGUUAGUUUGGCCCAUGAUAAAUACUAAAAUUUUAUUUAUAUUUAACAUUUUCCUUAGAGGACUAG
rnacentral:lncRNA from 1 species